UACGUAGGGUGCGAGCGUUAAUCGGAAUUACUGGGCGUAAAGUGUGCGCAGGCGGCCGCGCAAGUCGAGUGUGAAAGCCCCGGGCUUAACUUGGGAAUUGCGCUCGAAACUACGUGGCUGGAGUGUGGCAGAGGAAGGUGGAAUUCCACGUGUAGCAGUGAAAUGCGUAGAGAUGUGGAGGAACACCGAUGGCGAAGGCAGCCCCCUGGGCUGAGACUGACGCUCAGGCACGAAAGCGUGGGGAGCAAACAGG
rnacentral:rRNA from 1 species